UUUCUAUCGGUUACUCCACACUUUUGCUUGUACUGAAACGCUCAGUAACAACACGAUGCUAUGAACAGUGAAGAAUUUUGUCGUUUUCGCACGCUGUGCUCACGCGGGCGAGUGGGGAACAGCGGGGCAGCAGUGUGCCCCUACGUCCCUGUUUAGAGCUGCACAGUUGGUAGCUAGCUACAAACGACCGUAGAGUGCAUGGGCGUUGGGGGCGAACAGUUCUAGAGUUAGUCGUGAUUCUGAGUAGAAGAGUGACUGCCGGCGCUCGUAGCCUUUCUUAAUUAGGAGAGAAAAGUAAGAUCCUCUACAGCGGAGGACUCGUUUACGUCUUUUUUUUUUUGAGGCAACCGGCUUCUAGGUUAGGUCGCAUGGAUCUGAAGAGAGAUGGCUCCACGGCCACACGGCCGCCGCCGCCACAGCCGCGACCACCGACAACCCGCCCUACCCGACUGCAGCCCCGACUGGCCUGUAAUGCGCCAAAGAAGGAUGAAACACGCCUAGUGUUCGAAGAUACAGGCGCGGAACAAAGUGAGCAGAUGACGCUCGUCUCGCUGCCUGAUGUGCCGCUGCUCGAGGUGUUGUCCUACCUGCGGCCCAAGGACCUGGGCGCCGCCGGACUGGCGAC